UCCCUGGUAGUAUAUCGGUCAGUACACGCGCCUGUCAUACAUAUGCGGUUGACAAAAUCUAACUUUGCACGGGAAAGCUGGGUUCAAUUCCCAGCCAGGGAA